UUUAUGUUCCAAAACAGUAGCCAUUUACUGCCCUAUUACUUGUUUUACAAAUUUUCCUUUUUGUUAGUUAUUAUUUAGAAACAUUUGCUUCAGUGGAUGAUGGAGAAAGAGUUGGUCAGAUUACAAAAACGCAUUGAUUUAACGAGUGAGAAGGGAUGGAGAGGAGAAUAACAUUUCAUGGUGUAUUCGCGUCAGCUCUGAUUGUGCAUCGGUUGGUGGCUUUGCAUGCUGUUAAUCAGAUUAACUCUUGAGCCAGACUGGAGUCAGCGGAUCACCAGUAAUUAUGCCAAAAAGAAGUGAACAAUGCUCAAGAUUGAAACUGCCAGGUGAGAAAAAGAAUGAUACAGCACUCUAUACACCAGAAUCCAAGGCAAACUUUUUAAAUUUCAGUUCCACAGGACCUGUGGUCCAAGUACAGCAUGCUUUCAGUAUAUUUAGUAGUGUAUAAACUGUGAUUCUGUCCAUCAUUACAGAAGCUGUAAUGCCUGUAUAUGCAGCCAGGUUUAGCCCAAAUGCACAAGGACGGACUACAUGGCUUUCCCAGUCUAUAAAUUACUAGAAUUUUCUUGUCA